rnacentral:rRNA from 1 species
CGGGAAUUUUGGGCAAUGGGCGAAAGCCUGACCCAGCAACGCCGCGUGAGGGAUGAAGUAUUUCGGUAUGUAAACCUCGAAAGAAUGAGAAGAAUAAAUGACGGUACCAUUUAUAAGCUCCGGCUAACUACGUGCCAGCAGCCGCGGUAAUACGUAGGGAGCAAGCGUUGUUCGGAUUUACUGGGCGUAAAGGGCGCGUAGGCGGCGCGGUAAGUCACUUGUGAAAUCUCUGAGCUUAACUCAGAACGGCCAAGUGAUACUGCUGUGCUAGAGUGCGGAAGAGGCAACCGGAAUUCUUGGUGUAGCGGUGAAAUGCGUAGAUAUCAAGAGGAACACCUGAGGCGAAGGCGGGUUGCUGGGCCGACACUGACGCUGAUGCGCGAAAGCCAGGGGAGCAAACG